UACGGGGGGGGCAAGCGUUGUUCGGAAUUACUGGGCUUAAAGGGUCUGUAGGCGGCCAACUAAGUCAGACGUGAAAUCCCUCAGCUUAACUGGGGAACUGCGUCUGAGACUGGAUGGCUCGAGUGCAGGAGAGGAAUGCGGAAUUCCAGGUGUAGCGGUGAAAUGCGUAGAUAUCUGGAGGAACACCGGUGGCGAAGGCGGCAUUCUGGACUGCAACUGACACUGAGAGACGAAAGCCAGGGGAGCAAACGGG
rnacentral:rRNA from 1 species